rnacentral:rRNA from 1 species
CAGCGCCGCGGUAAUACGUAGGGCGCAAGCGUUGUCCGGAAUUAUUGGGCGUAAAGAGCUCGUAGGCGGUCUGUCGCGUCUGGUGUGAAAUCCCGAGGCUCAACCUCGGGCUUGCAUCGGGUACGGGCAGACUAGAGUGCGGUAGGGGAGACUGGAAUUCCUGGUGUAGCGGUGGAAUGCGCAGAUAUCAGGAGGAACACCGAUGGCGAAGGCAGGUCUCUGGGCCGCAACUGACGCUGAGGAGCGAAAGCAUGGGGAGCGAACAGGAUUAGAUACCCCCGUAGUCCCUGUCUCUUAUACA